rnacentral:ncRNA from 2 species
UUGACAGCGUCAGGAGAGAGUUUUUCCAGAAAAAACCGCCGAAGGCGCAUGUGUCACCCCCAUUGGUGGACUGAACGCUCAGGCAAAAGGACUGGCAACCGCCC